UACGUAGGGCGCAAGCGUUGUCCGGAAUUAUUGGGCGUAAAGAGCUCGUAGGCGGUCUGUCGCGUCUGCCGUGAAAACCCGAGGCUUAACCUCGGGCUGGCGGUGGAUACGGGCAGACUAGAGGUAGGUAGGGGAGAAUGGAAUUCCCGGUGUAGCGGUGAAAUGCGCAGAUAUCGGGAGGAACACCGGUGGCGAAGGCGGUUCUCUGGGCCUUACCUGACGCUGAGGAGCGAAAGCGUGGGGAGCGAACAGG
rnacentral:rRNA from 1 species